AGUGAACGCUGGCGGUAGGCCUAACACAUGCAAGUCGAACGGCAGCACAGUAAGAGCUUGCUCUUACGGGUGGUGAGUGGCGGACGGGUGAGGAAUACAUCGGAAUCUACUUUUUCGUGGGGGUUAACGUAGGGAAACUUACGCUAAUACCGCAUACGACCUACGGGUGAAAGCAGGGGAUCUUCGGACCUUGCGCGAUUGAAUGAGCCGAUGUCGGAUUAGCUAGUUGGCGGGGUAAAGGCCCACCAAGGCGACGAUCCGUAGCUGGUCUGAGAGGAUGAUCAGCGACACUGGAGCUGAGACACGGUCCAGAGUCCUACGGGAGGCAGCAGUGGGGAAUAUUGGACAAUGGGCGCAAGCCUGAUCCAGCCAUACCGCGUGGGUGAAGAAGGCCUUCGGGUUGUAAAGCCCUUUUGUUGGGAAAGAAAAGCAGCAGGUUAAUACCCCGCUGUUCUGACGGUACCCAAAGAAUAAGCACCGGCUAACUUCGUG
rnacentral:rRNA from 1 species